GGAGAAAUGCCGGAGCGGUCGAACGGGGCGGUCUCGAAAACCGUUGUCCUGAGUGAUCGGGACCGGGGGUUCGAAUCCCCCUUUCUCCG
rnacentral:tRNA from 1 species